GGUGGUGUGGCCGAGGGGUUAGGCAGCGCUCUGCAAAAGCGUGUACAUCGGUUCAAGUCCGGUCACCACCUCCA
rnacentral:tRNA from 1 species